UACGAAGGGGGCGAGCGUUGUUCGGAUUUACUGGGCGUAAAGGGCGCGCAGGCGGCGAUUUUUGUCAGGCGUGAAAGCCCCGGGCUUAACCUGGGAACUGCGCUUGAGACGGGAUUGCUAGAGAUCGGGAGAGGAGAGUGGAAUUCCCAGUGUAGAGGUGAAAUUCGUAGAUAUUGGGAAGAACACCGGUGGCGAAGGCGGCUCUCUGGACCGAUACUGACGCUGAGGCGCGAAAGCGUCGGGAGCAAACAGGAUUAGAAACCCCCGUAGUCC
rnacentral:rRNA from 1 species